UAGUAUUUUUGACAGAAAAGUGAGAUUUGAAAUCAGCCUGUAAUUGACUAAUUCUCUUGGAUCAAGUUGUGUUUUUUUAAUAAGAGGUUUAAUAACAGCCAGCUUAAAAGUUUUUGGGACAGACGGACAGUUCUCCGUUCUCCUAGUGGAUCAUCAGAACCUACCAAUAAUAACCAACUGCAGAACCGCAGAUCCAUACGUCAUGACAGUCUGAGGACGACAGCGCCAGACCAGCAGCCUGAGGGCGGAAGUGGGCGGAGCAACAGUCUCACGUCGGAUGUGGGCGGAGUUAGCGACAAACAAACAUGGCGGAAGAAGAGAACACGGAGCCGUGGAUCACAUGAUCUCUGCGCUGCACAACAACCAAACGUCUUCAAGGGUUUAGUGGAAGAGCCGUGCUUUCUGAUAUUGAAAGAGGAAGACCAGGAAAAGCCCUUCUUCAACUUUCACAGGCUGAAACGGAUGAUGACACACAACUGGCCAAAGAGCCUUUAGUGUUUCGCUUACAAAUUAAGGAUGAUAUGGACAUUUUUCUUAAUGAGUGUCUGGACAAGAACAGUCUUGUAAUUAAUUGCAUGUUUAUGGAGAUUUGAUUUUUUUUUUUUAAAGAUUUAAUUAUCAGGCUCCACUUACCUGUGCUGGUGAUCGAGCUUCACCCGUUACAGCAUCACUCCAGAGCAGCUUCAUUUCCUGAAGUCAUGUGGUUUCAGUCUUCCUUCAAUAGCAGAGAUUCUGCAGGUUUCUCUGACUACCGUCAAAUGCCGCAUGGAGAGGUUCAGUUUGAGUCGCUCUCUGACGUAUUCAGGAAUAACCGAUGACGCUCUCGACGCAAUGAUCACGGACAUUGUGGGAUCGGAGGCUGUCCCUGACCCACAGUUACGGGCAGGUGGAUUCGUGUCCAGACACAGAGUACGCAGCAGCUUGAUUCGGAUCAACCCAAGGGCAGCGGCACUAUGGUUCACGUCACAAACACCACACAGAAGACUGUACAGCGCUGCUGCUCCCUGUGACACCUAGAUGGAAACCGCUAACUGAUAAUACUGCAAACAUUAUCUUUGGUUAGACUUUAUUUUAAGGUGUCAGUAUUACAGUAAAAUUAUACGUUCAAGUACUGAGUGAUAAUAAUUAACUACAUGAACUUACUGUAGGGUUAGGAUGAGGGUUUGGUUUAGGGUUAAUUGCAUUUAAUUAUGCAUAAUUUAUUGUUAUUACUUCAGUAACUACAUGUAAGAUUUGUAACAAUGACACUGUAAAAUAAAGUCUUACCUUAUUUUAUUGUUUCAGGUGUUUAUUCUUGAAUACCUAAAUUUUGAAUUCUUUCUUCAUUCAGUAAUUCUCUGAGUCACUCAUUUAGUUUUGUCUAAUGUUAUAUAAAUGUUUUGUUUAUUCAGUUAAACAUUUUAUUCUGAAGCUUAAGUUUCAGUCAUUCCAACUGCAUCAGCCACUAAUUUUGAGAAUAUUUUGUGAUUAAAGUGGCUUUUUUCCCCCAAAGUUUUAAUAAAGCACAUUUUGAAGUUACACUGCAUUGUGUUAAAUGUUUCAUGUUUCAAAGGAUAUAUUUGCACAUUGUAUUAAAACAUGGUUUUAAAGCAAGACUUCUAAGGGGUAAUUCAUGAAAUCAAAGAAAUAUCUAGAAAAAUAAUUCCACCUCUUUUUCUUAGCAGUCCAUUUCUCAAUAUAAUGACAUAUUUGUAGCUUACAGUUAAAAGGGACAUUUUUUAACAGUGUACAUUUUGGGCUUUGAGUCCUGAUCCAUCAUCCAAAUCACUUUUACCUCAUCAUAAUAAUUUAUGGCCAUUUUAAAAGCUCAGAAAUCACCCUGUUGAACCCCAGAAGUGUCUGAUUCACACACUUGUGAAACUAAUUUAGGUUAGUCACUUAAGUGAUUUCAAAUUCAUAUGAAGUGAAUAAAAAGGUGUUUUUGCUCAGAUCAAUCAGCAUCAUUGUUCAGGUGAAAGACUUUCUCUUUCUCUCAUGCCAGUGUGUGCCAGCGCUGAUGUAAAGGAUUGUGGGCGACACAAACCAGUUGAUCAGCUCAUGAUGGUCCACUCACUUUGUCUUUGUCUAAACACACAGGUCAGAUGGUCAGUGGUCAUCACGAGCGUCUUGUUCCACACAGAAUGAAUGUGUCUUCUCUGUCUGUGAGGCAUGUUCACAUCUUCUUCUCUCGUCAGUGUGUGGUCGAGCCCCUCUCAACAGCAGGAUUGAUGGAGGGGAGAAUACGGUGCUGUGUCAAGCUGGUCAUUUACGAGCUUUGUUCAGUAGAAAAAUUAAAGUGGAGAAUUGUCCUUGACGGUGGUAUGGAUGGGUUCAGCUGUUCACAGGCGUUUAUCAGCCUUUACCCGACACUGGAACAGCCAUGGUUUGAGAACAGAGCGACACCAGACACCCGUGCAGAUUUUGGUCCG